CAUGCAGUCGAGCGGUACAGAUCUAGCUUGCUAGAUGCUGACGAGCGGCGGACGGGUGCGUAACGCGUAGGAAUCUACCUAGUAGUGGGGGAUAGCCCGAAGAAAUUCGGAUUAAUACCGCAUACACCUUACGGGGAAAAGAGGGCCUCUACUUGUAAGCUCUUGCUAUUAGAUGAGCCUGCGUCGGAUUAGCUAGUUGGUGGGGUAAAGGCUCACCAAGGCGACGAUCCGUAGCUGGUCUGAGAGGAUGAUCAGCCACACUGGGACUGAGGCACGGCCCAGACUCCUACGGGAGGCAGCAGUGGGGAAUAUUGCACAAUGGGCGCAAGCCUGAUGCAGCCAUGCCGCGUGUGUGAAGAAGGCUCUAGGGUUGUAAAGCACUUUCAGUAGGGAGGAAAGGUUGUAAGUUAAUACCUUGCAUCUGUGACGUUACCUACAGAAGAAGCACCGGCUAACUCCGUGCCAGCAGCCGCGGUAAUACGGAGGGUGC
rnacentral:rRNA from 1 species